rnacentral:rRNA from 1 species
UGCCAGCCGCCGCGGUAAUACGGAGGGUGCAAGCGUUAAUCGGAAUUACUGGGCGUAAAGCGCGCGUAGGCGGUUUGAUUAGUCAGAUGUGAAAUCCCCGGGCUCAACCUGGGAACUGCAUUUGAUACUGUCAGACUAAAGUAUAUUAGAGGAAUGCGGAAUUCCGGGUGUAGCGGUGAAAUGCGUAGAUAUCCGGAGGAACAUCAGUGGCGAAGGCGGCAUUCUGGGAUAAUACUGACGCUGAGGUGCGAAAGCGUGGGGAGCAAACAGGAUUAGAUA